CAAGGACACAUCUGAAACCUGCAGAACACCGGCCCUUGAGGCCUGGAGUUCCUCACCCCUGCUCUAGCUUAUAAAUUGCUUAAGCAGAUAAGAAAAUGUACUGCUGAUGCAUUAACAUGCACUUGGUUUACUAAUCAUCAGCAAGUGUGUCCACCUGCAUCACAGCAGAUUUGGCAGGUUCGUCUCUAGCAUUUAGGUGUGUGUUAACACAAUCACACACAGGAAACAUCAGCAAUUGCUACUGGCCACCAUACUGGGAAGAGUUAUAAGACCAUUUUCAAACAGUUUGAAAUCAAUCGUUCUAUGAUGAAGAAGAUUAUUAACAGUUGGAAAACUUUAAUGACAGCUUCAAGCUUCCCAGGAGAGGACAGCAAAAUCACCCUAAGAUUAGAGUCAUGCUCAAAGAAACUACACUUUCUUUUUUACUUGACUUUAUAUAUUUCCUUCCUGACUAGGCUACUCUGUGUUUUGAUUUUAAUAUUUCCCCUCCUUGUUUUCUUUCUGUUUUAAACGAGGCUACAUAAUUUUUUUAAUUCACAUGUUUUAUGACUGAAUACUUAUUUUAAACCUGGUGGACUAGAAGGAUGGCACAGGUUUGAUACUGACUCUGAACUUGUGUUCACGAGCUGUUUUAUGGGACAUUUCAGUCAGAACAGAUCUGUGAUUACAAGUGUGUCCAAAUCAGGUGCUCUCCAAUACUUUGUGCCUGAAUGAACACACUACUUACUCAGUUAUGAUGGUCAGAGCAGCAAGGGGUCAUUAUUCACGGACUGCCACACAUCCUUUAGAUCUGAUGUGGGACGAUGUGCGUGUGUGUUCAAUGAUCCAGAGAAGACUACAGCAGCGGAUGAGAUUGCACAAAGACUUCAUUUAGAGCAUUUAUAUCAGAUUGUUUUAAUCAAUGUUUAAAUCUGACAGUCAGGCCUCACCGUGCACAGGCACCACUUCUAACACCAUCUGCUCUUCCUCUGAUGUUCACUAAUCAACUACUAAUAGUUAAACUCACGCUCUUGCACAGACACACACACACACUUUACCCCUGCUGAGAACUUUCUGAAGGUAUUUUAUUCAGCUUAGUCCACUUUAUGUUUAAUGACCACGAAAGAUUAUCUGAGAGAGAGCCCAGUGUGACGUCUAUGAUAUGACCUUUUUAAAAUAGUUCAUUACACCUUUCACUUUCUAGUUGACAGGAUUCAUGGAAACUACAGAAUAUAUGCUUUUGAGGAUAACCUGCGAUACAUCAGAGCUUUAACUCCUCGGCCCCACACCACACCCACCUCUAUAGUUAGCAGUAAAAUGGUUGGGACUGUGAUUAAAUAUUACUGUGCCAUUAAAAACCUGGCUUGUCUCUUCAUAUUAUACACUGCACUAACAUUA